rnacentral:rRNA from 1 species
UACGUAGGGUGCGAGCGUUUGUCCGGAAUUAUUGGGCGUAAAGAGCUCGUAGGCGGUUUGUCGCGUCGGCCGUGAAAACUCGAGGCUUAACCUCGAGAUGUCAUCGGAAACCAUUUGGCUAGAGUCCGGAAGAGGAGAGUGGAAUUCCUGGUGUAGCGGUGAAAUGCGCAGAUAUCAGGAAGAACACCAAUGGCGAAAGCAGCUCUCUGGGACGGUACUGACGCUGAGACGCGAAAGCGUGGGGAGCGAACAGG